rnacentral:rRNA from 1 species
UCCGUAGGUGAACCUGCGGAGGGAUCAUUACACAAUAAAAUAUGAAGGCUGUACGCGGCUGUGCUCUCGGGCCAGUUUUGCGGAGGCUGAAUUAUUUAUUACCCUUGUCUUUUGCGCACUUGUUGUUUCCUGGGCGGGUUCGCCCGCCACCAGGACCACAUCAUAAACCUUUUUUAUGCAGUUGCAAUCAGCGUCAGUAUAACAAAUGUAAAUCAUUUACAACUUUCAACAACGGAUCUCUUGGUUCUGGCAUCGAUGAAGAACGCAGCGAAAUGCGAUACGUAGUGUGAAUUGCAGAAUUCAGUGAAUCAUCGAAUCUUUGAACGCACAUUGCGCCCUUUGGUAUUCCAAAGGGCAUGCCUGUUCGAGCGUCAUUUGUACCCUCAAGCUUUGCUUGGUGUUGGGCGUUUUUUGUCUUUGGUUGCCAAAGACUCGCCUUAAAAGGAUUGGCAGCCGGCCUACUGGUUUCGCAGCGCAGCACAUUUUUGCGCUUGCAAUCAGCAAAAGAGGACGGCAAUCCAUCAAGACUCCUUCUCACGUUUGACCUCGGAUCAGGUAGGGAUACCCGCUGAACUUAAGCAUAUCAAUAAGCGGAGGAA